rnacentral:rRNA from 1 species
GAUGAACGCUGGCGGCGUGCCUAAUACAUGCAAGUCGAGCGAACGGACGAGAAGCUUGCUUCUCUGAUGUUAGCGGCGGACGGGUGAGUAACACGUGGAUAACCUACCUAUAAGACUGGGAUAACUUCGGGAAACCGGAGCUAAUACCGGAUAAUAUUUUGAACCGCAUGAUUCAAAAGUGAAAGACGGUCUUGCUGUCACUUAUAGAUGGAUCCGCGCUGCAUUAGCUAGUUGGUAAGGUAACGGCUUACCAAGGCAACGAUGCAUAGCCGACCUGAGAGGGGGACCGGCCAACCGGGAACGGAAACCGGGGCCAACCCCCGACGGGGGGCAGCAGAGGGAAAUUUUCCGAAAGGGGCGAAACCCUGACGGGGAAACGCCGGGGGGGGAAAAAAGGUCUUGGGAUCGUAAAACUUUUUUUUUGGGGAAAAAAAUAUGUGAAAGAAACUGGGCAAAUCUUGACGGUACCAAAUCAAAAAGCCACGGCAAACUACGU